AAAUCUCCCAAUACAUCAUCUUUCUUUCUUAGACUUCCUCUUCGUCGAUUAUUUUCCCACUUCACAAACACAUCUCAGAAUCAUGGGUGUUUUCACAUACGAAUCCGAGUUCUCCUCCGUCAUCCCCCCCCCCACUAGGUUGUACAAUGUUUUUGUUCUUGAUGCUGACAACCUCAUCCCCAAGAUUGCACCACAGGCAGUGAAGAGCACUUGAGAUCCUUGAAGGAGAUGACGGCGUUGGAACCAUUAAGAAGAUCAACUUCGGUGAAGGUAGCACAUACAGAUAUGUGAAGCAUAGAAUUGAUGGAGUUGACAAGGACAACCUUGUGUACAAGUACAGUGUAAUUGAGGGAGAUGCUAUAUCCAAAACAAUUGAGAAAAUCUGCUACGAGACUAAGUUGGUGGCUUCCGGCAAUGGUUGCGUCAUCAAGAGCAUCAACCACUACCACACUAAGGGAGAUGUUAUGAUCAAGGAGGAGCAUGUUAAUGCUGGCAAAGAGAAGGCCUCCCACCUCUUCAAGCUGAUUGAAAACUACCUCUUGGAGCACCAGGAUGCCUACAACUAAACAUUGUCUGUUGCUGCAUUCAUGCGUUAUUCAGUCUCGUGUCAUCUUGCCUUCAAAUAUUGGCGUGGUUUUAAUCCGUUUUAUAUAUAUUUUUCCCUUCCAAAACAAUGUUUGGCUUGUACGUAAUUGAAGGUUUAGAUUGAAGAGUGACUGUUGUAUUUUCUUUCAUUUGUAAUAAACUCAAAAUUAAUGGAUCUGAUUAUUCCUGCAAGUUUUUUUUUAAUGAAAAUUUGUAUUUGCUAAUGUUAUGAUCCACUUUCCUAACUCUUUUAGUUUACUGAACACAUGAGAAGCGACAUUUCAAUUACCAGCAAAUCAUAAUAAUUGAAUAACAUUUGAAUCUCUAUUAGGGGUGGGCAAAUGAGUAGAGGAACCACAGAUCGGGGCGAGUACAGGCCGGGCCGGGCCUUUGUUUUUUACGGGGCGGGCCGGUUCCUAAACCUUAGAAAAACGAGCCCCGGACCGACCCGUUUCUAAUUAUAAUCAACAGUCGAAAUUGAAUGAUAACUUAUCAUGCAAUCUAAACCAUUAAUUUCUAACCUAGGGUUCCAGAAUUAGUUUUAGAUUUUCAGUCUCGCUCUCAAAGUCUCAAAAUCCCACCUCUCCACCAUCCCUCGAACCCCUACUCUGACGACAUUCAAGAGAACGCCCAUCACCGCCGCCGCAACCUACUCAACGGCACCACCACCACCCAUCCAGCCAUCAUCCGACCUUGACGACAUUCGUUACUUCGCCGGCUACCGUAAGUCUACUUCUCCGAAUUUUAUUUUUGUUGAUGCGGAGGAUUUGAUGAAUGCAUGAAUAAUAGGAUUUGAUUAGAGCCUAAAUCUUUAGGUGGGAGUAAUUUGGUGAAUGCAUGAACAUUUGGGUGAAGGAAUUGUGGAUCUGUUUGGAUAAUUUCUAUGUAUGGCUUUUCCCUAGAAUUAAGGCAAGAUCUAUGAUGAUUUCUCAAGUCCGAUGAAACUCUUGUUGUUUCUCAUUCUCUCUAUUUUCGGUUUUAUUUGUCGUCCUCGGAACAUUUGGGUGAAAGACUUGAGAAGCUUCAAAUAAUCAAUGUGUUUUAGCGCUAAGUACCAUUUCUGUGUUUCGUAAGACUGGAGGUCAUUAGAUUGUCCCUCCAUGCGCUCUGAUCACUCUUCGCAAGAGAGGGCUUUCCUCUGCUUCAUUGUGAUGGUUGUAUAUAUGUAAAUUAUGCUUAUUCUAGUUUUCAGAUUUGACUAUGUGUGUGUGUUGUGUGUGUAUGACGCUUGCUGUUUUCUUGUGCACAACACUUGUAUUUUCAGGAUGUCUUUGUGUAUUACAUAUUCAGAUUCUGUUUUGUGGUCCUUAAAUGAGGUUUUGCUUUUCACUUUUCAGUCAAUGAGGAAGUUUCAAUAGUGUUGGCCAUUCUGUUAUAAAUAUAAUAAGUAGGUCGGAUCAGAUUUUAGAACCUCAAUAGGCUAAGCUUAAUUUGUAUAUGAAUAUUGCAGAGGGAGAAGGAAGGAUAAGUUGUGGGUUUGGUAUGCCAUGGUCGAUUUAUAUAGAGGUCCUUCUGUGGUUGGAAUUGAACAGGUGUAUUACUUAAUCAUCCAGUAACUAAUUUUGGAUAAUGGAUGUUGUAAAUUGAAGUUGAAACUUUUCAACUUGCUCCAUUUCCCUUUUUGUUUUGUGGAAAUAGAAUGCAAGUUGCUUUCCUUGUCUGCAAACAAGUAGCUCACCAUUACCUGCCUACUUCAAUACCAUUAUCGAAUAAUUCUAGAUAUUUCUGAGUUUUUUAUUUAUUUGUUUCAUUGAAUUUUGGGUACGAUUGUUGGAAAAUAAGUUUUUGAAGAGAGUGUUGGAAAAUAAUUAAAUUAGGACACUGUUUUUUUUUCGUAAGUUAGGAAGUUGGCUUGUUUUUACGUUAGAGCUUUUUUGAUAUUUUAUGUACAUGUGUUUAAGAGGUUGCAGUCUGUUGCAUACUUGCUCCUUGACUGUAUUUAAGCUUGCCUCAAUUGUAUCACUUUUUUUUUCAUGGUCACGAGUGCUCCUUAACAGCUCGGUACAAAGAUAUCAUAUCCCAAGUUGGACACAUAUCCGCUGGUGAUUCGUCACUUAUAACAGCUCGGUACAAAGUUUCACUACCCCUACCUGUAACAUACUUAUAGCUUGUAGUUGUACUUACACCCGUUGCUAUUUAUGAACUUUUGUUUAAUAAUCUGUGCAAGUGUUGCAAUAUUGCUGCAAUCUGUGGUUUACAGUAUGUGUAAAUUGCAAUAAUCUCCUAUAACCAACAUAAUCUGCAGCAGUGAUCUUCCUUUUAUCAAAAGCCAACUUUAUCCGCAAGAAUUGUUAAGGUUGAACAUGUGCAGUUGUGCACCAGAAGAUGGCUGCAAUAUAUUAUAUAUGUCUAAUAGCUUUACAUUUUUGUAGGAUGAAUAUUGGGCUCCUCAAGAUUUCAAGAGGCUAUUAUCGAACGAUGUUUGAAUUUGUGCCGGUGUAAUGGUUGGAAUGUAAUGUUUGAAACUGAAUUCGUGCUGCUGUAAUUGUUUUUUCCCAAACAAAAAAAAAACAACUGGGAACUGUGGACCCGACCCGUUUCAAACGGGCUCGGUUCAGUUCAAUUCCUGUAAUGAAAUAUGAUGUAUUCGGCCCGACCUGGCCCGUUUCGUUUAAACUCCGGUUCCUUCAAAAUUAGGUCCAGCCCGUGCCCAACCCUAAUCUCUACCACAAAAGCAUAAAGUGAUGACAUGAAAACUCUGAUUUCGUUUUCCUUGUAAACCAUUUGGUUCAUACCAUAAAUACGCCCUUGAGUUAACACACCCAUGAUGAUGAUUUAAGAGCUUGUUUUUCCUCACCCUUAUGUGGCAUGACUCACCUCCAUCUGCGGUUCUUGCUUCUUGCAUUCAAAUUUUCUUAGCUUAUUUGAUUUUCGAUUUUUAAAUUAGUGUACAUCAUGCCAUACAGGAUAGGUCCGCUAUCCUAACGUGUGGUUUUAUUUUUAUAUCUAACAUAUUUCUUUUGGUGUUUCAAAGCUUGUUUUGCAAGUUUAUACCUUUUAGAGGGGGUUAGGCUCUAUGUUACUUCCUUCUUUUUCUUGUAUUUCUCGUUUUGCUUUCAAGAAGGGUCAAGUUUAUGUCCCUCUUUUCGUUUUGCUACUUUUCAGCUUAAAAUGAACCAUGACUUUGUAAAUAAACAGACUUACCAAACACAAAUUUGACUCAAAAUUUUUUUAUCUGUGCUUUUAUAAUAAUUUGAGCAGUACCAAACCUCGCCUUAAUUGUUUUUUUUUUCAUGAAUUUAGCGUUUUUUUUAACAAACGAUAUUAUCUACACUAAAGGGGUGAGAGAUCGGGCUAAGCCUCACAAUGGGCUAGCAAUAAUGCGGUUCAAAUUCGUCAUUGACGAGAGUCAAACCUAAGACCUCCCACUUAGAAGUGAAGAGGAAUACCACUGGACCGUAACACUAAGUGACAUUUAUUGUAUUUUUAGUUUGCCUAGAUUACUCUUUGGUACAAUUAUUUUUGGGGUUCAAACAUAAAAGAAAUUGAAAAGCAUUAGGUUUUGCAUAUCAUAACUAAUGUCUGAGACCUAACAAAUCAAUAAUGCAAAAAUUAUCGGACAUAAUGAACUAAAACAUGAAAAUAACAUACCGCACCAAAUUUACCAAACCUAAUGAACUAAAACAUGAAAAAUACAAACUAUACCAAAUUAAUCGUACCAAAUCUACCAAACCUAAUGAACUAAAACAUAUAACAUAUGAACCCGUACCAAAUUGAUCGUACCGAAUUUACCAGACCUAAUGAACUAAACAUAAAACAUAUGAAUCGUACCAAAUUGAUUGUACCGAAUUUAUGGGACUUCAACUAUAUAAUGUACCUAAUUGAAAUCACAACAUAAUAGACCUUACUGAAACUUCGGACCUAAACUAGUAUGUACCUAAUUGUUAUUUACAACACAUAACCAAACGUACCUAAUCAACCAACAGAACCAAACAAUGAAAUUCCCCACAUAGGCCUUUCAGUAAACACAUGUAUGCAUUGGUAAGUAAUCAUGUCUAUGCUGUGCACUCCACACAAUAUCAUUAUGAAAGCUUUCAAAAGUAUGGCAAUGAAACUGGUUAUAAAAUAUUUCAAAUUUGAAUAAUUAUAAUAAAAAAAAAGGUACGUUAUAGACAAAAAAGAUGAUGUUCUUGUAGAAAAUGAAGAUGGAUAUUACGUUUAUGGGUGAUAGUGAAUCUACCGUUACAUUUGUGAACACGAAAAAUUCCUGAAACGAAAGAAACAAGAACACAAAAUAAUAUUUGUAUUUGAUGAUUUUGGGUUACAAUCUCUCUCUAAUUUGAUCCUCUGAUUCGAUCUCUGUAAGGUGUUGAUUUGUGGAUGUGCGAUUGAUCCAAAGGGCCGUUGGGCUUAAUCUAAGGAUGAACGUUCAUCAAGGGCCGUGGGCUUGAUCUUGAAGGUGGAUUUGAGCGGAUCUUCAAGGAGCCGUUGGGGCUUGAUCUUAAGGAUGAGCGUUUCUUCAAGGGCCGUUGAGGCUUGAUCUUGAAUAACAGUAGUGAACGGAUCUUCAAGGGCUUUUGAGCUUGAUCUUGAAGAACAAUGAUUGACGGAUCUUCAAGGGCUUUUGGGCUUGAUCUUGAAUAACGGUGAUGAACGGACCUUCAAGGGCUUUUGGGCUUUGAUCUUGAAGGACGAUUGGAUGUGUGGAUUUGUUGACGUUUGUUGAUCCAAAGAGGCCGUUGAGGCUUGAUCUUAGGAUGAACGGAUGAUGAACGAUGAACAUUUUCUUCAAGGGCCGUCGGGGCUUGAUCUUGAAUUGGUGGAAGUUCUUCAAGGGCCUUUGGGGCUUGAUCUUGAAUUGGUGGAAGUUCUUCAAAGGGCCGUCAGGGCUUGAUUUUGAAGGUGGAUGAUUGUUGAUCCAAGGGCCGUCGGGGCUUAAUCUUGGAAGAACGAAGAGGGCUUUCUUGAUUCUUCGGGAACCUGGAUGCUUGAGAGCUUCGGAGUUUCAGAGCUUCAGAGCUUUAGAGCUUUAAGGUUUUGGUGUAAUAUGAAUUGGUUAUGAAUUCCCCUCCCAAAUGAAUGCAUUGGCUUCCUAUUUAUAGAAUUUUCCAAGGCCUAAUUUUGAAUAUAAUAUGCAGAUGAAAUAAAUCGCUUCUGCCAGGUGUUGACAUGUGUCCUAUUUGAUGACUUUUUUGAUUUAUUUUGAUUUUUCGUUUAGUCACACGCUACGUGUAAAAUUUAUGUGACACGUGAGCGUUGAAAUUGUAACUAUUGGUCAACAUUUAUUUCACCGAAAUUUCGAUGUCUACAAAUGCCCCCACUUCAAGGCGCGUCGUAUACAUGUGUUUAUCACGUGUAGGAGAUACGUUUUGAAGUCCCUUAGUGUAGAUGUUGAUCCAAGGGCUGUUGAGGCUUGAUCUUGAAUUAGAAGAUUUCUUCAAGGGCCAUUGAGGCUUAAUUUUGAAUUGGGCUUGAGAUUUCUUCAAGGGCCGUUGAGGUUUGAUCUUGAAUUGGGCUUGAGAUUUCUUCAAGGGCUGUUGAGGCUUGAUCUUGAAUUUUGUUUGAAAUUUCUUCAAGGGUCGUUGAGGCUUGAUCUUGAAGGUUGAAAUUGGACCACAAGGAGCUUCAUGUGGUAGAUGAUCUUUGGCUUUGGUAGUGGAUGAAUUGGCAGGUAUUUGUUUUUGCGCUUGUUGACUUUCCACAGCUUAUUCUUGAACUGGAUUUGAUUCAAGGGUGGUGGACGCUUGAUCUUGAAUCAGACUUGUGAUUUCCUCAAGGACCGUCGAGGCUUGAUCUUGAAUUUGGCUGGAAGCUUCUUUAAGGGCCAUUGAGGCUUGAUUCUUGAAGGUUGACUCGAACACAUGGCAAGCAGGCACGAGGUGAAGGUGAUGACUUGUUGCUUUGUUCAAUCUUUCUAAUUUACACCUGAGCAGUUUGGUCAACGGUAUGAUCUUCAAUAUUGAUGGGCUCUUCUUCCAGUUGGUGACUUGAUCUUUAAGGAUUUGAUUCAAGGAUGGUGAAUUGGCACGUGCUUUGUUGUGCUUGUCUCCACAUGCUUCAAUGUAUCAUUUUCACUUCCCUUAUCUGUUCCCCAGGCAGAUGUGGUAGACGAAGAGGAAGCAUAAGAUGUUGAAGAUGAGUAUUCGAGAGCACGGCUAGGUAAGCAAUCAGGAAGGGGUUCCAGGCGGAUAUGGCAGCUUCUUGAGUUCCUCAACUCAGACUCUUUCUGCUGAGUUGACUGUGCGGGCUGCAUUCUUCUCUGCUUGUUUCUUCUGCACGUUGUUACCACAUGCUGCAAGGUAUCAUUUUCACUUGCCUUAUCUGUUAUCCAGGCAAAUGUGGCAUCUUCUUUGGAAGUACAUCAGCAGCUGAAGACGAGUACUCGAGAGCAAUACCAGGUAAGCAACCAGGCAAAGGUUCCAGGUAGUCGAUUCCUUACCCGAGUUUGAGUGGAGGUUCUGGCAUAUUGCUUUCUUUAUCCUUGUCUUUGCAGGUAAGAACAAAGACAAAGGAAAUGACAGGGGGAAAGCAUGAUAUGAGAUACUCUUGCUUUCUACCCUGGUGAUAUGAGAUACUUUUGCUUUGGUAUCAUUUGUUUGCAGAGGUAUUCUAGGAGAGGAAGAAAACUGGGUAUUUCGAGAGGCUCUGCUGGGAGUGUACUCUCGGAAAUGAGGAAUGGUUGGGCAUUUUUGCAGGUCUGCCUUGCUAUGGACGGUGAAUGUCGACAUAUAUAGGAAUUUCCCAACAGCCAGUAGUGGCACUAUUCCUUUACUCUUGUCGGCAACCGUUGGGUAAUUGAAACAGUCAGAUUCACGCGUUUUCAACUUUGUCAGAAAUCUUUGACAAAGUUGCGCAUGAUUUCCGCAAAGUUGAGGUUGCAUGUGAAGGAUGGCGACAAAUCCUGAAAAGCCGGUCUUUUUUUUGAAAUUUGGAGAGUGGUGACUUUUCGAUCUUUGAAUCGGUGGCCUUGUUGCCUCUUCGAUCUCUGAACAAACGGCCCAGCUUUUGAAAUUCGGGGAUAAGGGCCUCUUUGGUUUCUGAACGACCACAUUGCCUCUUCGAUUUUUGAACAGGCCAUGUUGCCUCUUCUUUUUAUAGAGGCAUGAAUCGUGUUCAAAAACACAUUUAGAGAGUUGCUACCUGUUAGGAAUUUCCCUCAUUUUGUAUUUUCUAAGAAUUCGACUUACACGACCUCUUCUUCUUUCAUCAUUUUUGCAAAUGGCUUGCCCUUCUGAUCGUCGUCUUGAUUUGAAUGUUGGGGAAAAUGUUGAUAUAUCUUCUCUAGACAACAUAUGGUGCCCGUCCUUCUUAUCUGCCACCGGUCCUCUUACAGUUGGGGACUCUAUGAUGAAGAAUGACAUAACCGCUACGGUGGUAGCUAGAAAUCUUCUCACCCCUAAGGACAAUAGGAUCCUUUCCAAGCGGUUUGAUGAGCUGGCUGUUCAGGACUCUCUGGCUUUCAAUGUUCAGUGUGCGGGCUCUGUAUCAAAUAUGGACCAACGCCUUCUUGCUCGAACUCGUCAAGUCGAGUCACUGAUGGCUGAGUGGCGAGUCUUAAGUAAGAGAUUAGAGGGAUUAAGCAUGAAAACAGAGAGAUGCACAUGCUUGCCAAUAGCUACUCAACGAGCAUGAAAAGAAAGCUCGACCAGCUAUAGGAAUCUGAAGGUCGGAUUCAAAGUGACCAUCGGACGUUUGUGACUUUACUCCAAAGGCAUCUACUGUCUUCGUCCUCUAGAGCUAUACCAAGUGUUAAGGCUGCAAAUAAUCAACUUCUGGUGCCUCCUCCUUCUGGAGCUCCGACGAGUACUGAGGCGCCAUCUGAUCAACCUUUAUGAAGGCUUCCUCCUAUUUGCUUUUUUUUUUUUCAUGUAAAAUGUACAUUUAUGUAAAUUUUGAGAGAAAUCAAUAAAUGAGGCUUCUUUCAUUCAAUGUAUAUAUAUAUUUUUUGGUCGGUGCGCUUGGCAUCAUCAUUAUUUUUCUUCUUUUUGCCAAUUUGCAUGUCUCCUUUUUUUGCUUUCUGCACGCCAUCAUCCCUAAACAAAUGAUGGCUGUCAUUUUCCUUCUUUUUAUUAUUUAUUUAUUUCUUUUGGAUGGUGCCUGAUGCACCAAAAGCUUUAUAACUUUUUUUUUUAUUCUUUUUUUUUUUUUUUUUUUUUGCAUGGUGCUGUCCAUCAAGGUUCCACCAUUUUUUUUUCUUCUUUCCAGAUUGGUUUGUCUCCUUUCUUUUUUAUUCUCUUAUAUAUAUAUAUAUAUUCCCCACAUGGUGCAGGCAAUGGGCAGAAGAUGGAGCAGAGGGAGUAUGCAGAGCACGACACGGACGGAUGCACAAGCAGCAACUGCCGAUGAUCCUAUUGCUCAGGGAAGGUCAUGAGUAUGGUGAUGAAGUUGGAGGCUAGAGAAUGAAGAGCAAGCUGUCCCAAGAUCACCCGGAGAUCACUAGAGCUCCGAUGAGAUCUGAUCUGGGGUCGAGGGAGAUCAUCUUAUUGCUGCCGUUAGCAUUGAUCAACGGUUGGUGCUGCAUCGACAUGUUGCUGCCAUCGGCUGAGCAGGGAAGAAGUAGAGUACCUCUCAAGCUUUCUUCAUGGGUCUCGGUGAAUAAUCUGGCAGAGAGAACUGUGUAUUGCAGUCACGGGAGAAUGAUGCAGAGGAGAACGAGGACGAGUCUGAUGAUGCAGCAGAAGCCAUGGAGUAGGAGUGUUCUGUAUUUGGAGGAGUUGAUAGAGGCAAGGAUUCUCAACAGCCUACAUGAAGCAAAAGCUUUGCCUUCGCUCCGGAAUCGCAACCUUGGAGUACCAUCCUUCAUAUAAUUUAUGGCUCGUUCCAUCGAAAUGGUACCCGCUAUGAAGAGUUCAAAUGUCUCGUUUCCGAGGGGUGAGGACGUAGACGGAGCUCGCGGUCGCUUUGUCCUGUUGAGUUGUGGAGCGGUUGUGGCGACGUUGUCGCUGUUACGAUGGCUACCCUUUGCUUGCUGCUGUGGAGAAAGUCUGAGCGUUGCAUGCUGCAAGGGAUGAGUCUUGGUGUUAGAGCUUGACGUGCUGGAGCUUGACGUCCCAGAUAAGCGUGGUUGAUUCGAGCAUCAAGCCCAACUCGACGAUCAAUGACGGGGAGCUAAAAACGAAGAUGAAGCAGCAGCUUGUUCCUCCAUUUGACCAUGAGGGUGACGUGUGAACGGGCUGAAGCAUGAGACCUCUAAUGCUAGGCCCACUUCGACCGAGUCAUCCAUCCUUCCCUUUGGUACGGUGAAGGUGGAGAUGCUGGCGUUAGGUAGAAGGAGAGAUAGAUAGAGCUUGGGUCGCAGGGAGAAAAUUUGAAGCUCUGAGGUAUUGAAGAUGAUGACAGGGCCUGUGGCUUGAGGUGUAUGCGAACCAAGAGAGAAUUGGACUUGGGCUUUUGGGAGUUUGUAAGCUGAAGAGGAAGUGAGCUGUUGGGGAUGAAAAUGGUACUGUGCUCCAGAUGUGGGGUCCAAGAGAGGAAUGAGAGGUCUUGACAACUCGACGUGCACUCUAUGGCCCAUUUCAGUGCCUCAGCUGCUAUGGUUCGAAUGGGCUUCAUGCUGGGCCUGAUUCUCGGGUUAGGCGUUGAAGAAGAUUUUAAAUAAGGAUGGGAAAGGAGCAGAAGCAAGAUUGAUUCUUUUGGACCUCACAGAGACAGCAUCGUAGAGGCUAUGCCUUCUUCACGUGAAGCUCAAGCAGCAAUGCAAAUGAUAGCAACUGCUACAUAUAUAUAUAUAUAUAUAUAUAUAUAUAUAUAUAUAUAUAUUUUAAGAAACUGUAUUUUUUUUACAAAGAAAUUGUAAUAAAAUUGACUUUCAUCAAUCAAACCUUUAAUCAAACAUUUUUUUUUUAUUUUGAUGUGAUUGAACUCGAAAUUGAAUGCUCGAGCUACCUACGUCCCUUCCAAAAAAAGAGAUCAAGUCAAAACGUAGUUCAAAUGCUUUUUUUUUUUGGUGCCGUACGCAGUUUAUGCUCUUGCCGGCCAAGAGCGUUUGGUGCCAUUUGCAGUUUCCGCUCAUGCCGGCAAGGAGCUUUUGGUGUUGCCUUUUAUGCUCUUACAGACCAGGAGCUUAGUGCCAUGCAGUUUAGGCUCGUACGAGCGAUGAGCCUUGUUAGUUCGUUAAGCAAUCCGGGAGAGUCGUUCCUCGCAAUCUUCAUAGCAAUGAGCCUUGACUGAGUAGUUGAAGAAGUCUUCUGGGAAGAUGUCAUGCAUCGUGAUGGGGAUGGAUGAUCUUCAUGUCAAAGUUUCAUUAUCUCCAACACUUUCACAUUGUUCUGAAGUUUGACAAGAGCUGUUUUGCCCUCUUUCCCAUUGGUGAACUUGUGGAAGAGAUGGUUGCUUCCUGGAGAGGCGUUCAUCGCAAUCUUUAUAGCAAGGAGCCUUGACCGAGUAGCUGAAUAAUUUUCUGAGGAAAAAGUGAUCGCGCAUGGUCAAUCUUUGUGUCGAAAUUUCCUCAUCUUCAACACUUUCACAUCGCUUUGAAGAUUGGCAAAAGCUGCUUUGCCCCCUUUUCGAUUGGUGCACUUAUGGAGAAGACAUAUGCUUCGUGUGCAGUUUCUUCGGAAUGACAUGAGUCUAUCCUUCAACUUCACUCGGUUUGACUGGCAUGGUUUUGGAGCAUGCUCCCAGCGAUUGAGAUGAAGAUUUUAAGUUGACAGAGCCAGAAGUGACGUCUUCUUCCAGGAUUUCGUCUUCUUUGUCUUCUUGGGCCUCCUAUGUAGUGAUGUCAUUUUGGGUUUGUUAGUAUGAAGAUUGGCCGGUGUAGAUAAUGGUGCGCCUCCUUACCUUCAGUGGUUCUUUUAUGUCGACUUCCAAAGUUGCUUGGCGCUUCAUCCUUGAAGGAAUCAAGCUUUGAACAUCGUCUUUUCCUGCUAGGUUGUCGAGCUUUUCUCCCUUUGGCGUUGUCUUUCUGUUUCUAGAAGGCUUCUUAGUUUCUUCAAGUCUGUCCAAAGCCGACCGUUGCGGAGGAGAUCUAGCUGUGCCGCUUUGUUUUUUGGGUUUUGAUAACUUUUCAAAGACAGAUCUUUACGGUGUUGGCGUCUUAAGCCUUUUGAAGACGGAAGUUCGGCCUCGACCACUGAUGCGAUCAAGUGCCGAAAUUCUAGGUUUUGAAUGAUUCAGCCUUUCGAAGACUGAAGUUCGAAUGGCAGGUUUAGGCUCCACUUUUGGCCUUGUGGCUUGUGGUCUUGGCUUCCUUAUUUUUCUGUAGGUCGUCGAUGUCCACCCUUUCUUAUCACCAGUAGAUGCAUCUUGGUUGCUUACCCCUAGUGAUGGUUGUGUAGGAGGUGCCGUGUGACUUGAACAUUAACGGGAAUGGUCAUGCAUGCUUCGGAGAUGCACAGGAUCGAGUGAUCCAAACACGAUAGUAGUAGUGUGUGCCGCAACCGUGUCUUCGAGGUCAAGCUCGAUUUUCCCUUGUUGUGCUAGCUUCAGGAUGAGAUCUUUCAGUACAAAACACUUUUCCGUUGGAUGACUGAUGAAACGAUGGAAUUUACAGUACCUUGGACUAUCGGUAUGAUUCAUCUCUUCUGGCCGUCUACACUCAAGCAAACUGAUCACCUUCUUUUCCAACAAGUCUUCUAACAUGGCAGCCACAUCAGAGUCGGGGAAUGGAUAAGUUUUCUCUUCAAGCUCCUUCAAAGUGCGUCUACGCAUCUCUUGAUCACGAAAAGCUUCGGUUUGAAUCGCCUUGCCUCAUGUAGAGACUUUGAUGGGAGUUGUGUUGACCGUCAUGGCAUCUUCAGGGCAUUAAUCUUAUUGAAGUAGGGCUUCGAGUAGAACAAUGAUGUAUGUGAGCUCCCUUUGUACUGUGCUUUGAUGGUGUUGGUGAUCAUCUCUUGCAGCUGCUGGAUAGAAAGAGAUCCCAUGAGUGCCGCUGCUUGGUCUGGCUCCGGCUUCACAUCGAUCUCCUCCACCGGAGGCUCCUCUUCUUCGCCAGCUCCUCUCUUUAGUGGAUCAUCCUCUGGGUCGAGGUUCUCGCUGUUCUGUGGCUCCAGUCGGUUGACGAGUGCAGCGAUUUGCAAGUCUUUUUCUUCCACAAUCCGUGUUAGCCUUGCGAUCGCUUCAUUCAUUUGAGCCAGUUGUUCUUCAAUUGAGGUAACGCUGAUGGUCAUGACUUAUACAACCAAUAGACAUGACUUUCCUUUAAACAUCCAGAAUGCUAACGAAGAGCGUCGUUGGCUACUUUGGGAUGUCAUCUUGUGUGCCUCAGCAGCAUGCUUCCAUGCCCCUAGCGAGGUCAGGUUGAUGACAAACUCGCGCCUUUGAUGCUCCCCUUGCUCCUUUAGCAGCACCAACUUUGAAGUGGCAUGUUAAGGAGCGGUUGUGGCGCCAAUGGAUUGUCCGUUCGCGGCAGAAGUGCUCAAGAUCCUUCCCUUAGUGGUUGCGAGAACAGCUUGUCCCUUACUUGAUGCCAUUGACUUUGAGGCGUGUUUGGAUUCCUUGAACGAAGAAAGAGAUAAGAGGUAGAUAUGGUCCCACUGGGCGUGCCAAAUUUGUGAACACGAAAAAUUCCUGAAACGAAAGAAACAAGAACACGUGCACAAAAUAAUAUUUGUAUUUGAUGAUUUUGGGUUACAAUCUCUCUCUAAUUUGAUCCUCUGAUUCGAUCUCCGUAAGGUGUUCAUUUGUGGAUGUGCGAUUGAUCCAAAUGGCCGUUGGGCUUGAUCUAAGGAUGAACGUUCUUCAAUGGCCGUUGGCUUGAUCUUGAAGGUGGAUUUGUGCGGAUCUUCAAGGAGCCAUUGGGGCUUGAUCUUAAGGAUGAGCGUUUCUUCAAGGGCCGUUGAGGCUUGAUCUUGAAUAACGGUGAUGAACGGAUCUUCAAGGGCUUUUGGGCUUGAUCUUGAAGAACAAUGAUUGACGGAUCUUCAAGGGCUUUUGGGCUUGAUCUUGAAUAACGGUGAUGAACGGACCUUCAAAGGCUUUUGGGCUUUGAUCUUGAAGGACGGUUGGAUGUGUGGAUUUGUCGACGUUUGUUGAUCCAAAGGGGCCGUUGGGGCUUGAUCUUAGGAUGAACGGAUGAUGAACGAUGAACACUUUCUUCAAGGGCCGUCGGGGCUUGAUCUUGAAUUGGUGGAAGUUCUUCAAGGGCCUUUGGGGCUUGAUCUUGAAUUGGUGGAAGUUCUUCAAAGGGCCGUCGGGGCUUAAUUUUGAAGGUAGAUGAUUGUUGAUCCAAGGGCCGUCAGGGCUUGAUCUUGGAAGAACGAAUAGGGCUUUCUUGAUUCUUCGAGAACCUGGAUGCUUGAGAGCUUCGGAGUUUCAGAGCUUCAGAGCUUCAGAGCUUCAGAGCUUCAAGGUUUUGGUGUAAUAUGAAUUGGUUAUGAAUUCCCCUCCCAAAUGAAUGCAUUGGCUUCCUAUUUAUAGAAUUUUCCAAGGCCUAAUUUUGAAUAUAAUAUGCAGAUGAAAUAAAUCAUUUCUGCCAGGUGUUGACAUGUGUCCUAUUUGAUGACUUUUUUGAUUUAUUUUGAUUUUUUAUUUAGUCACACGCUACGUGUAAAAUUUAUGUGACACGUGAGCGUUGAAAUUGUAACUAUUGGUCAACAUUUAUUUCACCGAAAUUUCGAUGUCUACAACAUUUUUAAAAACUUUGAUGGUGGAGGUUACAUUGCAAACAAUGAAUAUGGCAUUCUUAGCAGUAAAAUCUGUGGUUUUGUUAUAAGUAACAUGUUAUGUUGCAUUAAAAUAAAACCCAUAUUUUCCAUCCAUAGUGUAAAUAUUAGUAAUAUCAUCUCAUUAAAGCCUUUAUCUCUAAAAGCCUUAUUUUACAUAUUGUAUAUUGCAUAUACUGUUCAAUAUAUAUAUAUAUAGCAUGUUCAUGCACACACAAUUGAUAUGUCCAAAUUUCGAAUAUGCAAGUUAUGUUAUAAUAUGCUACAUUGUUAUGUUGAAUUGUGUGAGUCAAAGGAAAACAAACAAAAAAAAUAGAAACACGAACUAGGGUUUUAAAACCCUAAAUCGAAGAAAAUAAUGAGAAAAUUGUGGGAAGGGUUCCUCAACUUUAAUUCAAUUGGAGUAAUGGUUCUUCAACUAAAAUCCAUAACCAUUGGUCCCUUAACUCAUCAAAAAAUACAGCUAUGAUCAUUUUCAUCAACUCCAUCAAAAUUCCGUUAAAAUGAGUUAUAAGGACUAUGCUAUAAUUAGAUUGAAGUUGAGGGAUCACUGUUCCAAUUAGGUUAAAGUAUGUAUCAUUUCUCCAAUUAAGUUGAAGUUAAGGGACUAUUGCUACAAUUUUUCUCAUUUGGUUUUACAUAUUUGUCUCUUGAUUCAGCCUUACAUGCAUAUCACUUGACUCAUUUUUCACAGAACUUCUAACGAAGAUGAAAAUGACCAUAGUUGUAUGUUUUGAUAAGUUAAGGGACUAGUGGUCAUGAAUUUUUAGUUGAUGAAUCACUACUGCAAUUAUAUUAAAGAUGAAAGACUAUUGUUAUAAUUUCCUCAAAAAACAUUAAAAAAAAGAGAAAAUCGCAGCUGAGCCGUGGCUUGAAUAUGCACCAUCCGUGCCACAACGUCGAGCCGAGCCUGCACUCUAGCCUAUGCUCCAAAACGGCACCCUGCAGCCCCAUGGGCUUGCUAAACUCACUGAACCUAAAUCCAGUUUUUUUGGGCUUCUUCUCCCUGCCAGGCCUGCUGCUGACACCUCGCUCGGGUCAACCCAGCUAUGCUGGGCUUCAGCUCCUGCUGGGCUGCCUUCUUCUCGGCUCAAGGCCCGCGCAGGGCCCCCUUUUUUAACUGCAAAGCCAGCAGCAUGGGUGUUCCAUUUCUCCGGCCAGGCCAAAUUUUUGGCCUGUUCUGCUUCCAGCCUGGAACCGACUAAGUUGGGGUGCCCACGGCUAAGCUCAUUUUUGAGCUCUAUUUCUCACUAAUUUGGCCCGCAAUCAUUCAAACCCAAUAUAACCCGAACAUCUAUGAAUUUGAUAUGAUAUUCAAUCAUAAACUAAGUAAAAAGAAUUUGAUAUGAUAUUCAAUCAUAAACUAAGUAAACUUAUCAUAAACUAAGUAUAAAAGUAAUCGAAUGCUGUUUCAUUUAUUAAGAUUAAAAUCAAAUACAAUAUUACACUUGAAUCAUAACUCCAAAUUGCGAAUAAAAAUUGCUUCUAUAUGAGCAAAAGAAAAAAUCAAAAGCCACACCACUGAAUAAAUAGAAAAAAAAGGAGAGGACACAACAUUUGUUUCCCCACUGCUUAGCAUGCAGAAUCAUAUAUAGAUCGAUGGUUUUAGUUAUAGGCAUCAGGGUUGGCCACAAGGUAGUUCUCAAUGAGCUUGAACAAACCAUGGGCCCUUUCUUUCCCAGCCUUAACAUGCUCUUCUUUGAUCUCAACAUCUCCCUUAGUGUGGUAAUGGCUGGUGCUCUUGAUGACAGAACCGCUGCCGGAAGCCACCAACUUAGUCUCAUAAGAGAUCUUCUCAAUCUUGUCAGAAAUGACAUCUCCUUCAAUCAAACUGUACUUGUAGACAAAGUUAUCUUUGUCAAUUCCAUCAACCUUGUGCUUCACAUAGCUGUAUUCACUUCCUUCACCAAAGCUAAUCUUCUUGAUGGUUCCAACACCUCCAUCUCCCUCAAGAAUUUCAGCAGUUUUAACUGCUUGUGGAGCAAUCUUUGGGAUGAGGUUGUCAGCAUCAAGAACAAGAGCAUUGUACAACCUAGCAGGAGUGCAGACUGAGGCGAAUUCAGUUUCAUAUGUGAAGACACCCAUGGUGAUGAUUGAGAGCUUAGAAAAUAAUCAAAAUAAGAAUGAAAUGUGAAGGAAGAAAAGAGAAAUUGAUAAGGAAGGUAUUUGAUGGUGGAAGAUAUGGAGGUGGUAUUUAUAGGUUAUUGGUGAGGGGCUGUUGUGUAAUAUGGACCCCUAUGGAUAGAGAAAUUUGGACAGUAUUUAGUUUCCCAUUGGUGGUUGUUUCCAAUGUGAACAUUUUAGUCAAAGAUAGGCACCUCUAGAAGGUUAUUUUGUAUAUUCCAACUUAAUAUUACAGCAGAGCUGGUGUGCUAGGUCUGCUGUCUACUAAUUCAAUAAUAUCUUUAUGGACUCGAAUAAAUCUAAGUUGCCUUUUUUAUUCAUUACUUAUCUGAACUCUUUGAUCAGCAUAAGGACUCCUAUGAAACUACAAUGUUACUCGUUCCCUAGCGUUUUAAUGCGAAUAUCGUCACAUUAAUGUAUUUAAGCUUUGACAUAAUAUUUGAGCGGUUUGUUUGAAUGAGCCUAAAUAGUGAUAAGCAACCAGUCGAGUUAAUUUUUGUACGUUAUUUAAUCGACUCUAUGCCACGAAUUUAGUUCCAUUGUACACAUGCAUGCUUGUUUGUUCUUAUUUGUCACAUCAAAUGAUACCUUAAUGUAGUCAAAUAUGUGCUCUCUCUAGUAUUUUCCAUCUACUAAAGGUAAUGAUCUCACUUUUAACUCUACAGGUAUAUAUGGACUUCAUAUAGCAGUAAAAAGUAACAGUACUCUUUCAAUGCAUUAGAAAUUAUAUGACUUUUGACUGAAUUUUCUGAUGCAUAGGAGAUAGCUUAAAUCUAAAGGAGGAGGAAAAAAAGACAUCAUAUCUUUUCCCCGGCGAAUCCAACCCGACUCAUUUCUUCUCCCAAAUCCUAACCUCAUUCUUCUCCAACAAGCCCACCCCCAAAGUCUCUUUUCUCUCGCGACGCCACCUAAAAUCGUUCUCUUCGACAACGGCGUCGGUUCGAAGAUGAACAAUCAUGGAAGAGGAAAGAAUGACAGAGCUAUGAGAGAAAUGGAGUCAGAUGUUUGGUUAUAGAAAUAGUGUGUAUAUCAGAUUAUUUUAAAUUGACACAUGUUUGUAUCUUGUUGGGCCACUUAAGAGAGCGAGUAAAUUGGACACUCCCCGGUUAGUAUCCAAAUAUUAUACUAUUAGUAAUUAGUUUUAUAGCAAAACUUUAAGUUCUUUCACUAUUUACAUUUUGAAAAGAUUUACAUGUAGUUUUACUCUGAAGAAUAGAUGCAAAUUUAAAUUUGGGCUCACCAUCACUUGAUUAUCCCUUUUCAAGAUAUAAUAAAGAAAGGGUUUUUAUGGCAAAUUAUUUUUGAAAUUGAAAAUCAAUUAAUAUAGUUCAUGAAAAUAGGUAUUGCAAAUCAAUGUGGUAUUUCUAUCAUAAUUCUAUUAAAAAUUCUGUUAAGUGUUGAUGUAGUACAUAAAUGGGUCCCAUAAGUCUUUUUUUCUUCUCAUAAAUGGUCCUUGAAAUUGACCCGCGACAUCAAAAUGGUCCCUAAAAUUGACCUGCAACCUCAAAAAGGUCUCUGAAAUUGAAAAUCGAUCAAUGUAGUCCCUUAAGUGUCCCAAAUGACACACCCCGUCCCGAAGGAGGGCGUGCUGGCCGUCACGUGAGAGUGACGUAACCAUUUACACAGUUCGGAAGCUUUAAAAAAAAUUCCAAUUACUAAGAUAACACACCCGAGGGUGAGUCCUACUUUUGUGAAUUCUGUCAGAACACCGUUGGAUUCCUCGUGGCCACCAAAGCUCUGCUAACUUGAACCUGGAGGGGCGCAAAACAAAAUUGAGUGGGUCAGUAAAACAAAGUUUUUCGAAGACUUUUCAUUUAAAACAUUUAUAACCCCUCACCGUAAAACCUGUAUACUUUCCCAGAAAAUAGCAUAUAUAUAACAUAUAUAUAAGCAAAAAGCUCAAAUCUCAAACCUUUAACACUUUUCAGAAAUAUAUAUAUAUAUAUAUAUAUAGAUAUAUAACCAUAUGAAAUCUCAAAGCUUGAAUCCCAAAUCUUUAACAUUUUUCAAGAAAAACAUGUCAUGCCAUAAAUCAAAAUAUAAAUCAGGUGAAAUAAGGAAUCAAUCGGAGACCCUGCAGUUGGUCCUAUACGAUUAAUUCAAUAGCUCAAUAUCUCACUAAGCCGGAGUCACCACAGUGACCUAUACGGCCCUACUCUGCACAUCACUCGGAACUACGUAAGGUAGUCUAUACGAUGAAAGGUGUAAAAUACGCUCUAGUGCUUCUCUCAUCAUAUCAUCAGCGCGCAUAUCUAAGGUCACCCACCAGUCGGAACCCCUCUAAUGGUCUGUACGACUGGCAUGUCGGAACCCUCACAUGGUCUGUACGACAUCCACCUACUUGGAUCCAAGGCGAGCGUGCGGUGUGGUGAAUAAUAUAAGCACUAACACCUAGGGUGCAGAUUAUGAGCUCAAACAUCUCAACAACAACAAUUCAAUGAAUAAACGAACUCACCUGACUUGCCUGUGCCUCCACAGCACCAUGCAACAUGUAUGCAUCAUAUAUCAAUCAUAUAACUCAUAUGAAAUUCACAUUUUCCAAAUAAUUCUAUGCAUGGCAUUUUCAAAACAUAAUUUCGCAUAAAAGCAUUUUUUCUGGGAAAAAACAAUAGUAUAUAGGUAAUACGAAAACAAAACUGCCCACUCACCUGGAGUUCGCCCACAACUCCCUAGCACCGUACAUCAAGGCGUCAUGACGAUUAGCGCCUAGAACAACAAUCAAAUCCAACCUCAGAAAUUCUGCCGAUAGAAUACAUAACUAUAUAAGACACGUCACUACGUAGUUCGAUCCGGAUGAUCUGCAAUUCAGAUUUCAAAUCCGUAACUUCCAGAGGUCCACAAUAUACCUCUAGGACAACAUCCUAAAAUUUCAUUACCAUCCAACGGUCGGAUCUUCGUCAAUUUCCAAAACUAAGUGACGGUUAACAUUCUAUUUUAUGAACUUACAACUUCAAUUCCAGAAGAUCCGUAAAUCGGAUUCCCAAUCCGUAAGUUCCUAUAAUCCUCAAAUAUUACGUAUUACAACGUAUCAAAGUUUGAUGAUGAUCCAACGGUCGGAUCGUCAAUUCACAUUUUCAUCUAACCACGAAUCGUAACCAACUUAGGUUCAAUUAUUCAAUUUACGUCCAUCAAUUAUCAAAACAGAACCUAGAACCUUAAUCACAAGCUAAUAAUGACAUUGGCGGGCCAUUGGCCACGCGCCGCCGCGGGUGGCGGUUGGCCGCCCCCGGCUCGCCGGAAAAUUCAACUAUUUCAAAAAAUUACCAAAAUUUGCAGAUUUGAAGAUCUCAAUGAGUAGAACAACUUUCAUACCUGAGACCAAGGCCAAUUUGGCCUGGAAGUGCUUCAAUUUCACCAAAACCGUGAAGAACCCUAGAAUUUGGGUGUUUCCAAUUCGACCUUCAAACUUGUUCCAACGCCUCAAUUACCUCUUGGGCUUUGUUCUAGGUCCUAAAGGAAUGCUAAAGGUGUUAGUAAUUGAAAGAAAACAUUUCAAAAUUUGGAGAAUUUAAACAAAAGGGUCGCGGCACCCGUAGGGGGUGUUCUUCGCGAAAUCACAACGAAAUUCAAUGAUUCUUGGGGUGAAACGUAAAGAGGGAAGGCCUAGAUGAUGAUUAGGAGUGGUACCUUGACUCAAUUCGUCGGAAAUUUGGACGAAAUCCAUCGAAUUUGGGCGUGGGCACCGCCGGGUCGAAAACGACCCACGGGUUCUCCCCAACCCAUUUCCUCUUUUCCUCCGCUUCUCACCCUCUCUCCCUUCCUCCUUUCCCUGUUCCGAUUGGUCAGUUUCUUCCCCUCUCUGCCUCUGAUUCGCUCUCUCUCCUUCUUCUCCGAUUGGGCAGUUUUUGCCCAAUCUCUCUUCCUCUUUUCUGUUUUCUGGUUCUUCCCACGCACACACCCACACAAAACUUUCAUUUUUCUCAUCCCAGCCAUCCAUUUCAAAAUCCUUUAAUCUGGGCCAUCCAAAUUUUAAUAAAAGAAUUUCUAUAUUUUACUAAAAUUAUAAUUCCUUAAAAUUCCAAAUUUCAAACGUUAAUAACUUCUUCGAUAUAACUCCAAAUCACGAACCGUCUGCGCCCACGCGUCCGUAACGACGAGUACUACGAGGAUAUGUCAAGAAAACAAAUCUUAGAUGGCCCGACACAACGAUUAACCUCGAAUGAUGUGCGUGCCUCAAAGGGCAUUUUUGUAAAAUCCUUUAUUAAAACUUUAAAAAUUCUUAAAAUUAGGGACGGGCUGUCACACCAAAUCCAUGUAGUCCUUACAUCACAAUUCUGUCAAAAAUUUUGUUAUGUGCUAAUGUGACACAUAAAUGAAUCACACAAGUCUAAUUAAAUUAAAAAAAAAAUAUAUAUAUAUAUAGGUUUAAUAAUUUAAUAGUAAUAAAAAGUUGUGAACCCAAAAAUCCAAUCCUGCAAUCAUCUCCGAUCUCAGUCCACAUUCCUCUACCUCCACUUAUCUUUACGCACUUCGACACCCUUCACCGAAUUAAACCUGGAUUGAGAUCACCUUUGAUGAUGGCUUGGCUAAUUGGCAAUGACUUAUGGGACAUCACUGUUAAUAUUUAGGCGAUCAACUUCCUCACAACCUUAAUCUUGGAAAGCUUAUUCGACGCUUUCCUGGUGGUCUGGUGACUCAAAGAAUGGUGAGGUUUGCCUUGAGAUAAUGAGGUUAUAACCAAGGUGCAUCUAUUAUUGGUUGAAAACUAUUUCCAAACCCCCUCUUAGGCCUUGGUUAAGGUGCCUUUGAGAAUUUAUGGAAUAGAUCACUCUUCGGAGUAGGUCCUACUAUAAAAAAAUAAUAUAAAAAAAAUUCUAUUGUGCAAACAAGUAUUCAAACAAUUUUUUUUUAUUAAUUAUUAAACUCACAUAAGCACGUAACAAAAGAAUUGUGGCGGAAUGAUCAUAUUGAUUUGUGACAAGGGCUACAUUAAUCAAUUUUCAAUUUUUGGAACCAUCUUGAUGGUGUGGGUCAAUUUCAUGGACCAUUUGUGAUAAAAACCCAAAAAGAAAUAAACUUAUCUUCUAACUAAAAUGGUAUUUGACGUGGCUUUAAAUUUGCUCAUUGAAGAAUUUUUCGAUCAAUAUUAUACAUCUCCGUAUACACCUCCGACUAAAGAUGCCCCAAGGGAGGAGAAUUCAAAUUUACUGACGUUUUUUUUUCUUUUUGUUCAAAAGAAGCUCAAAACUUUAAGGAGGACAACUUGUUCAAAGUAUUUCUGAAAGGUUCAUGUGGAUCAUAAUUCGUGCCAUUUGCAAGUUACAGGUCAGAACCAAGACUUUCAUAAUAUUUCAUGAAGAGUAUAACAAAAUAUUAAUAUCUUUUAAUUUUAUUCCAACUGAAACGUCUUAUUACUAUUUUUUUAUAAAUCAAAACGAAGCCAAAACAAAACAUUUGGAACACAAACCACAAAUAUGAACAAGUUUAAUUUAGUUGUAGGAAUCAGGAUUAGCCAUUAUGGAAACGAUCAAAGAGUUCUAAGGAAAUAUGAAGAAAAUUGUUGAUCUACAAUAUUCAGGUUUUGACUUGGAGUGAAAGGGAAUGCUGAUGUGAAUAGCUAUGCUUGUAUCAACCAGUUUAUGCAAGUUGGUACUGUACAUUUCUAUUGUUGUCCGUACUGCCUUGCGACUAGUAUAAGCACUUCCAGAAGUUCAAUUUAGGAAUGACUUGACCUGCAAUUCAACAUUGGCUGCAAUGCGUCGGCUUUUGAUUGGCCGUUAUUUUUCAUUGGCUUUUCACAUCCAAAUUGGAAUAUUCUAGGAAUUAUUAUUGGCACUCCAAAAAUCUCAUUUUUCACUUCAAACUUUUUAUAAUUAUUAAGAAAAUUACACUUAUAAGAGUGUAUUAUGAGAUUUUAGAAGUACUAAUAACAGUUUCCUAUUUGAUUGUAACAAAUAUUAUCCAAAUACACAGUCCUACUCUAUUAUCUUCUUCAGAUGCCCAUAUGUCUGCAACCCGUGACUAUGCCCGUUGUGAAAGUAUAUAAAGUAUUAAUAGAGAGGAUGAUUAGAAAUGCUCCAACAAUACGUAACAAAAAGUAUUAAAAAUUCCCGUAAAUAUAACAGCGCAAGGCACACAAAGUUUUAAGUUGUAAGAGAAUAUGACUUCUAAAGAUCUAAUGAUAUUUCUUUUUACUUGUAAAUAAAAAAUUUUAGAUUUACACGUGUGGAUGACAAGUUUAAUAUCCAUUUAUCUUCCACAUCCCUUAAUAUAAAAAUAUAUCUUUGUUUUUAAAAAAAUGAUGUGUGAUCUCUAGAGAACUAAUUGGUAAGCACAAGAAAAAAUUGUGGUUAGUCCACCUCGUGGAGUAAUUGGCCAUUUCUUAUUCAAUUUCCAGAUGGUCUUUUCUUGAUUACAUUACAAAUUUUCCUUGUACAAAAGUAAUGGUUCCCACGUCCACGAUGAAUAAAACCCAUUAAACAAUUAGGAGCUUGCGUAUACCUUUUGAUCCACCUUCUGCCUCAGCCUAUAAAUACCAAUACAUCCUCCUCACUUCUUCACAACUCAAAAUCUCCCAAUACAUCAUCUUUCUUUCUUAGUCUUCCUCUUCGUCGGUUAUUUUCCCACUUCACAAACACAUCUCAGAAUCAUGGGAGUUUUCACAUACAAAUCCGAGUUCACCUCCGUCAUCCCCCCCGCUAGGUUGUACAAUGCCUUUGUUCUUGAUGCUGACAACCUCAUCCCCAAGAUUGCACCACAUGCAGUGAAGAGCACUGAGAUCCUUGAAGGAGAUGGCGGAGUUGGAACCAUUAAGAAGAUCAACUUCGGUGAAGGUAGCACAUACAACUAUGUCAAGCACAGAAUCGAUGGAGUUGACAAGGACAACUUUGUGUAUAAAUACAGUGUGAUUGAGGGAGAUGCUAUCUCCGAAACAAUUGAGAAAAUUUGUUACGAGACUAAGUUGGUGGCUUCCGGUAGCGGUUGCGUCAUCAAGAGCACUAGCCACUAUCACACCAAGGGAGAUGUUGAGAUCAAGGAAGAGCAUGUUAAGGCUGGCAAAGAGAAGGCCUCCCACCUCUUCAAGCUGAUUGAGAACUACCUCUUGGAGCACCAGGAUGCCUACAACUAAACAUUGUCUGCUGCUGCAUUCAUGUGUUAUUCAAUCUCGUGUCAUCUUUUCCAUCAAAUAUUGGUGUGGUUUUAAUCCAUUUUUAUAUAUAUUUUUCCCUUCUAAAACAGUGUGUGGCUUGUACGUGAUUGAAGGUUUUGAUUGCAGAGUGAAUGUUGUAUUUAAACUAAAAAUUAAUGGAUCUGAUUAUUCCUGCAAGGUUUUUAUUUUAUUUUUAUUUUUUUAAUGCAAAUUUGUAGUUACUAAUGUUAAGUUCCAGUUUCCUAACUACUUUACUUAACAUAUGAGAAGCGACAUUUCAAUUACCAGCAACUCAUAAUAAUUGAAUAACAUUUGAAUCUCUCCCUCAUAAUAGCCUAAAGUGAUGAAAUGAAAACCCUGAUUUCGUUUUCCUUGUAAACCAUUUUGUAAUUCAUACCAUAAAUACGCUCAUGGGUUAGAAAUAAUAUGGUUCAAAUUCGCAUUUGAGCGAAAAUUGAACAUAAGACAUCUCACUUACAAGUGAAGAUGAACAACACUAGACCAUAAUACUAAGUGACAUUUAUUGUAUUUUUAGUUUGCCUAUAUUACUCUUAGGUACAUGAUUUUAAGGGUUCAAACAUAAAAAUAAAAAAAUUGAAAAGCAUUAGGUUUUGCAAAUCAUAAUUAAUGUUUGAUGCCUAACGAAUCAAUAAUGCAAAAUUAUCGAACCUAAUGGACUAAAACAUAAAAAUUACAAACCACUCAAAAUUGACCAUCUCAAAUUUACCAAACCUAAUGAACUAAAACAAGAAAAAUAAAAACCGUACCAAAUCUACCGGACCUAAUGAAUUAAAAUAUAAAAAAUACAAAUCAUACCAAAUUGAUCGUACCGAAUAUACCAGGCCUAAUGACCUAAAAUAUAAAGCAUAUGAAUCGUACUAAAUUGAUCGUACUGAAUAUAUGGGACCUAAACAAUAUAACGUACCUAAUUGAAAUCACAUAAUCAAAAUUUUGGAAACUUCAGACGUAAACUAGUACCUAAUUUUUAACAAAAACUAACAACGUCCUAACAAUGAGAAUUUGUUCCCCACAUAGGCCUUCAUAACACAUGGUAUGCGGAGUAAUCAUGUUUCUGCAACAAAUGGUUUAAAUUAGUGCAUUCUCUCCACACAAUAUCAUUAUGAGAGCUUUCAAAAGUAUGGCAAUGGAACUGGUUAUAAAAUAUAGACAAAAAAGAUGAUAUCUUGUAGAAAAUGAAGAUGGAUGUUAUGUUUUAUGGGUGAUAGUGAAUUACGGGUUACAUUUUUCAAAGGUGGUUAUGUUGGAAUGAACGUGCAUAUGAAAGAUGUUGUAAAUAAUAUGUGUAUGUUUUAUAAGUGUCAUUUUUUUGAUUAUAAAGCCCAUAUUUUACAUAGUUGUAAUAGUAAAAAAUCCGAUCCUUAUUCUAAAACAAUAUUGUAUAAUAUACUGUUCAAUAUAUAUAGCAUGUUCAUGCACACAAAUUGAUAUGCCCAAAUUUUAAAUAUGCAAGUUAUGUUAUAACAUGCUACAUUGUUAUGUUGAAUUGUGUGAGUCAAAGAAAAAAAAAAUAGAAACACGAACUAGGGUUUACAAACCUAAAUCACAAAAAACGAAGAAGAGAAAAUCGCAGUUGAGCCACGGCCUGAAGCUGCCCGUGCCACCUGCGGAACUAAAUGCUGCAAAACCGGCACCUUGCACCCACUUGCUGACGGCAACAGUUUGGGCUUCUCCCUGCCAGGGCUGCUGGUUGACACCUCACUCGGGUCCACCCAGCUUUGCUGGGCUCCUGCUGCUGCUUGGCUGCCUUCAUCUCGGCUCAAGCUCCAAACUGAUAACAUUCGAGAUUAUACAAAAUUAUACACAAAGGAUCAUUUUUUGGCUUUCUCUUUAGUCCUAUGUCUCUUAUACAUAAAGUGAGUUACAAACUCACUCUCAAUGUUACAUGUUUGGGGUUUGUCCACGCCCCCUUGUGUGAAUAAACUGCUUUUCAAAAUCUUAGUGAAGAUUUGGAUUUGCUAGUCAUGUUUGUUUUUUUGUGAAAUAAAUACCAAUUGAAGCGGACGGUUUCUUCAACAACAAAUGAGAUGGGUCCAACUACUCAUAUAUAAUGAAAUUGAGCAUGUUUCCCAUCUCUCCUCGAGAAAAAAAGGUGGGCUAUGCAAAAUUGUGCUCAAUUUCAUAUGCGCCAAUUCCGCAAGAUCUCUUCUUAGUUGGGGGAAGAAUCCGCAUGAAUCGGAUUUUUGAAACAUAUCAAGAAAGAAUUGGUUAGACAAUGUGAUCAUAUCUUCUUAGGGCUUUUUGGAUGUAUAAUGCAAUUUCAAUAGUAAUGCAGUAAUGUUUGGGUUAGAAUCAGCGGAUCAAGGAGUGGUAACUCAAUCACGGGGGAAACUUAGGGCCUCCUUUUUUCACUGCAAAGCACAGCAUGGGUGUUCCAUUUCUCGGGCCAAGCCAAAUUUCGGAUGUUCUGCUUCGAGCCUGGAACAAACUAUUGGGGUCCCUGCUAACCCCAAUUUUGUUUGGCCCGCAACCAUUCAACCCAAUAGCCCUAACAUCUAUGAAAAUGAAUAAUCUAAAAAGAAUUAGAUCAUUGUUCUCUGAUAAAGUAAGAAUGUUGUUUGUUCCAUUUAUUGAGAAUUCAAAUCAAAUACAAUCUUACUUGAAUCAUAACUCAAAUUGCAACCAAAAUCUGCUUCUGCUAUGAGUCAAAGAAAAGAAUUAUGGAAAGCCACCGCAAAGUAUACAGAGAGAAGAGAGGUAGGGAUGUAGUGUGAAAGGAUGGAUUAAUUUGGAGUUUGACUUCCCAGUGGUUUUUCAAUUUGUACUUUAGCAAAGAAAGCAGCUAGAAUGAUUAUUGAAAAUUAACUUCUAAAUAGCUUGUUGCUAAUGUGGAAUGGGAGUUUUUGUUUAAUGAAAUGGACUUUUUGCAUAUUAUAGGGCUGUUUGUGAAAGCCUGAAAAAUUGAUAAACAACCAAUCGAGUUAGGUAAUUUUCGUUAUAUAUGGUUCGUUUUUCUAUGGCCACAAGUUUUAGUUCCAUUAUGAUACAUGGCAUGCCAGUUAUGUUCUCAUUUAUCACACCAAGUAUGAAUGCACUAAUGUAGUUCUUGUAUGUUCUAUUUCCAAAGUAUUUUCCAUCUACUAAAGGUAAUGGUCUCACUUAACUCUUUUAUUGCAGACAGUAUUUUCAAUAACAGAAACUUUUAUCAAUUUUAGAAAUGAAAUAAUAACUGCCAAUAUUUUCUUGGCUUGGAGAUAGUUAAAGAUAAGAAAAAAGAAGGACAUUAAAUAAAUCUCUUAACCUACACGAGCCUUUUCUUCAAGUUCUUACUCUUGGCAGAACUUCAGUCUUUCACUAUUUAUAUUUUCAAAAGAUUUACAAGUAGUUUGCUCAAAAGAAUUGAUGCAAAUUUAAGUUUGGGCCCACCGUCACUUGAUUAUUCCUUUCAAGACGUAAAAAAAAAAAAAAAAAAAAAAAACUUAUCUUUUGACUAAAAUGGGUAUUUGACGUCACAUUAAAAUUGCUCAAGAAACUGAACCGAUAUUAAAACACCCCACCUCCGGAGGGGAGGAGAAAUUCAAAUUACUUCUUUUUUUAUUCAAAAGAAGCUCAAAAACUUUGGCCCAACCAACUUGAAAAGUGCUGAUCGUGGCUGCCCCAUGCAAGUUACAAAAAUUUGACCAGACUUUCAUAAUAUUUGAAGAGUAUUACAAAAAUAUUAAUAUUUUUUAAUUUUAAUUUCCAAUUGGAACGUCCCUAUUACUUUUCCUCAAAACGAAAAGCAAAAACCAAAAAACAAACCACCAUAUGAACAAGUUCUAAUUUAGUUGUAGGCAUCAGGGGUUGGCCAUUAUGAAAGCGAUCAAAGAGUUCUAAGGAAAUAUGAAGAAAAUUGUUUUUCUACAAUAUUCAGGUUUUGACUUGGAGUGAAGUGGAAUGCUGUAGGUGCUAUAUAUAGACCACAACAAUUGAGAGUCUGACCUGAUGUGAACAGCAAUGCCUCUAGAUCAUCAACCAAUUUAUGCAAGUUGGUACUGUACAAUUCUAUUGUUGUCCCUGCUGCCUCACGACCAGUAUAUGCACUUCCAGAAGUUCAAUUUAGGAAUGACUUGACCUGCAAUUCAACAUUGGCUGCAAUGCGUCGACUUUUAAUUGGCCGUCAUUUGGCUUUUCACAUCUCCAAACUGGAAUAUUCAAUUGUAACAAAUAUUAUCCAAAUACAGAGUCCUAUUCUAUUAUCUUCUUCAGAUGCCCUUUUAUGUUUAGGGAUGGUAUUGGGACGAUUACCGUAUCAAAAUUCAUUUAUUAAUUAUCAUACCAAAUUUUUAGUAUGACAAAAUCUAUUACCAUUACCUUGCUAAACUUUUGGUAUAUUGAAUUUCGGCAUGUCAAAUAGUUUAGUUGACAUAGUAUGGUAAUGGUAAUUACCAAUUUGUUUUGGGCCGUUCUUUUGGGCCAAAAUUUGAAUUUUUUUCCAACCUAAUUCAAGGCCAAAACAUGUUUUGGCCACUCCCUUUGGGUUUCUAGAACUUUUUUAUUUAAUUUUGAGAAUUUUAUAGAGAUUCAUUAAAUAGAUGGAAGAAUUGCUGAAAGAACCCAAUAUCCCUAAAAAAAUAGUACAAUGAUUCCUAAAUUCCAUCUCUACAUUCUUUAAAAUUGUAUAAAAUUAACUUGAUAGAUGAGGCCAGGGAGAAAGACAUCUCAAUUUGAUGAAGGAGGAGAUGAGAUGGACUUUGGAGAGAGAGUCGCGGAACUGGAGCAACAGAGAUGAAGUCGGUGGCUAGAUGAGUGAAAAGAUGAAGAGUCGCAGCGCAAGAAAGCUUAGAUUUUUUUUAUUGGGAAAGUAGAGGUUAGAUGGUGAGAUGAUUGGAUAAAUGAUUAGGAAAAAAAUAUAAAGUGCACAUAUAAUGAUAAUAAUACCGAAUUAUAUAUAAAUGAAUAAAUAAAUGAUAUAAUUAUUAUAAUAUUAAUAGUAGUGGUACGGUAUGGUAUACCAUUGAUAUUAGUUUUGAAUAUCAUUACCGUACCAAAAUGUAUGGUACAGUACAAAUACCGUACCAUACCAAUGAUACAAUUUUUUUUGCACAACUUUGGUAUGAUACGGUUAAUAUGGUAAUUUAGUAAAAAAUUCCAUCCUUAUGUCUGCAGCCCGUGACUAUGCUCGUUGUGAAUGUCCAAAAAGUAUUAAUAGAGAAUAUGAUUAUACUCCAAUAAUAUGUCAACAAAAAUUGAAUUAUUGAAAAGUCCAGUAAAUAUAACAGCGAAAGACACAAAGUGUUAAGUUGGGAGGGAAUAUGACCUCCAAAACAUUAAUUACUUAGUAUUAUGGUGCAAUGAUAUUCUUAUUUACUUGUACAUAAGAGAUAUUAGGUUCGAACAUUUGGAUGCAAGUUCAACACCAAUUUAUUUUGAGAGAUUAUAUUUACACAUCCCAAAUUACUUCUCCCACAUCCAUUUAAUUUUUUAAUAUUUUCUACACACCACUAACAUUUAAUAGAAAAAAUAUAUCUUUAAAAAAAUGAUGUGUGUGAUCUCUAAAGCACUAAUUGGUAAGCACAAGAAAAAAUUGAGGUUAGUCCACCUCGUGGAGUAAUUGGCCAUUUCUUAUUCAAUUUCCAGAUUGUCCUUUCCUUGAUUACAUUACAAAAUUUCCUUGUACAAAAGUAAUGGUUCCCACGUCCAUGAUGAAUAAAACCCAUUAAACAAUUAGGAGCUUGCGUAAACCUUUUGAUCCACUGCCUCAGCCUAUAAAUACCAAUACAUCCUCCUCACUUCUUCACAACUCAAAAUCUCCCAAUACAUCAUCUUUUUAUCUAAGUCUUCCUCUUCGUCGAUUAUUUUCCCACUUCACAAACACAUCUUAGAAUCAUGGGUGUUUUCACAUACGAAUCCGAGUUCACCUCCGUCAUCCCCCCCGCUAGGUUGUACAAUGCCUUUGUUCUUGAUGCUGACAACCUUAUCCCCAAGAUUGCACCUCAGGCAGUGAAGAGCACUGAGAUCCUUGAAGGAGAUGGUGGAGUUGGAACCAUUAAGAAGAUCAACUUCGGUGAAGGUAGCACAUACAACUAUGUCAAGCACAGAAUCGAUGGAGUUGACAAGGACAACUUUGUGUACAAGUACAGUGUGAUUGAGGGAGAUGCUAUCUCCGAAACAAUUGAGAAAAUCUGUUACGAGACUAAGUUGGUGGCUUCCGGCAGCGGUUGCAUCAUCAAGAGCACCAGCCACUAUCACACCAAGGGAGAUGUUGAGAUCAAGGAAGAGCAUGUUAAGGCUGGCAAAGAGAAGGCCUCCCAC
rnacentral:lncRNA from 1 species